GUAAUAUUUGUCGAGCAUUUUUGUCGCUGCAGCUAUUUGUCCCAACUAAAUAUUUAUUCAUGUUCAUGUCGAGGGUCCUGCUCCUGUCAAUGUCCCUGUCUAUGCAUGUUUAUAUCCAUAUUCAUAUCAAUGUUCGUGUGUCGUGUGGCCUGCCCAUGUUCGGGAGAAUGGAAACGUUUAGUUUCGUGGGCAAAGUGCAACCAAGUGCAAAACCAAAUCAACCAAAAUGUGCGUAAUAAAUAUUAAUUUUAUUUUUUGUUCUCCCUUCAUGAUGCACUGCACCCUCUUUGCGGUAUUGGUGUGCUAAAUUUCAUCUGCAUAUAUCUGUUAAUUUAUGCAUGAAAAUUGUUGGCAUAAAUGAUUCCUCUACUAUAUUAGAAAAAUUAAAAUAUGCAGAAGUAAGCGGCCGGCCGAGACAGUUGUUGCAUAAAAUAUAGUCAAAUGUUAUGGUAAAAUAUUCGCAGGGGGUACGAUAUAGUGUUCCGAUUUGGAUCAGAUUUGAAAUAUUGAUGGAUAGGAUGGUUUCAUUCAUAAUUUAUUUAUACAAAAGUCAGAUUCUACCAUUUAUCAUUGAAAACCGAGAAUAAGGGUGAGGGAAGUGGUACUCUCAUUUUGAGUACAUUCCAGAAUGGAAGAGACAACUUUUGAUAUCUCAUUCUUUUGAAAGAGUCUUUAAAAUGUAUCUAAGAAUAGUUAUGUUUAAUGUUUCCUUAAUUUUGCAGCAAAC
rnacentral:lncRNA from 1 species